rnacentral:rRNA from 1 species
UACGGGAAGGCAGCAGUGGGGAAUAUUGCACAAUGGGCGCAAGCCUGAUGCAGCCAUGCCGCGUGUAUGAAGAAGGCCUUCGGGUUGUAAAGUACUUUCAGUCGUGAGGAAGGUGUUAAGGUUAAUAACCUUAGCAAUUGACGUUAGCGACAGAAGAAGCACCGGCUAACUCCGUGCCAGCAGCCGCGGUAAUACGGAGGGUGCGAGCGUUAAUCGGAAUUACUGGGCGUAAAGGGCACGCAGGCGGUUAAUUAAGUUGGAUGUGAAAUCCCCGGGCUUAACCUGGGAAUGGCAUUCAAGACUGGUUAGCUAGAGUCUUGUAGAGGGGGUAGAAUUCCAUGUGUAGCGGUGAAAUGCGUAGAGAUGUGGAGGAAUACCGGUGGCGAAGGCGGCCCCUGGGACAAAGGACUGACGCUCAUGUGCGAAAGCGUGGGGAGCAAACAGGGAUUAGAUACC